rnacentral:piRNA from 1 species
UGGCUAGGUGACGACGGCGGCCUGGUU